UCCAUUUAGGAGUUCUUUGACGCCAAAGAUGGUGGAGGCUCUAAUUUGUGCACAAAAUUGGUUACGGUCUUCAUCAAUUCCAAUCAAUCUUAGAGAAUGUAUGGAUGAUGUUGAACAAUAUGAAGAAAUUGAGUCAGAAUUUUUUUCAUCAUCUACUGCACAAGAAGCAACUAUUGUUGAGGACUAAUUUGUCUCCAAGUUAGUUUGGUUUUAAAGUUCUUGAGAUUAAUGAAGUUUUUGAGGUUUGAUUGAAGCA